rnacentral:rRNA from 1 species
GAUGAACGCUGGCGGCGUGCCUAAUACAUGCAAGUCGAGCGAACGGACGAGAAGCUUGCUCCUCUGAUGUUAGCGGCGGACGGGUGAGUAACACGUGGAUAACCUACCUAUAAGACUGGGAUAACUUCGGGAAACCGGAGCUAAUACCGGAUAAUAUUUUGAACCGCAUGGUUCAAAAGUGAAAGACGGUUUUGCUGUCACUUAUAGAUGGAUCCGCGCCGCAUUAGCUAGUUGGUAAGGUAACGGCUUACCAAGGCAACGAUGCAUAGCCGACCUGAGAGGGUGAUCGGCCACACUGGAACUGAGACACGGUCCAGACUCCUACGGGAGGCAGCAGUAGGGAAUCUUCCGCAAUGGGCGAAAGCCUGACGGAGCAACGCCGCGUGAGUGAUGAAGGUCUUCGGAUCGUAAAACUCUGUUAUUAGGGAAGAACAAAUGUGUAAGUAACUAUGCACGUCUUGACGGUACCUAAUCAGAAAGCCACGGCUAACUACGUG